rnacentral:lncRNA from 1 species
UUAUGGAAACAGAGGCAAAACCCCAAAACAAACAUCAGGAAGAGAAUUUGGUCUGUCCUAGGAUUGCUGCACAUGGGCACAAAUUUGUUCCAGCCCCUUUGCUCAGAUGUGUACCACACCCAUUCAGGAGAGCGCCUUCCCAGAAUGACUGCUACCCUGACCCUAGAAAUUCCCCCCCCCCUUAAAAACUUCUACCUGAGUUAUUCUGGGAUGUAUAUCAUUUCAGAGUGUCCUAAAAACAAACCGAUUUCGGGUGUUUCUGUGAUGGCAAGUUAUGCUUGUGCCUAGGACAGUGGUGAUGGGGAAGGCGGGGUUGGGAUUACUUCCUGUUGGGGCCAACCGUGAACUAAUAGGGCCAGGAGAUAAUUAAGAUUCAAGGGGUACUGAGUUCCAGUUAAGCAAAGGAUAGGCUAUACCAGGUAAAUUCCCUUGUUCAUCAGUUCCCCACACAGAAUUUGGGGCAUCUUGGUUUCAGUGUUCACCUACUUCUUUCAUGUUUUCCUGCUGCCCUUUGCUCCUAUCAUGAAGGCGAGCCCAGCACACCACCUUGCCCCUGCCCCAGGCAUGGUGUCGAGGAAAUAGAGUUUGGAAGGAAGGGUUCAACCCAGCCUUCUCAGAAGAGGAAAAGUUUGGUCUGAAAUACGACAAAAACUUUGGAGAGGACCUGAGAUGAGGUCUGUAAAUUGUGAUGUGUGAUGCUUCUCUUCCCUGGGGCAGAUUUUUUUACAAUCCAGAAAUAAAACCAAGAAUCCCUUGGAGACCUUUAGGGGAAGCCUACCUGGUGGCAGCCCCUGCAUGGCUAUUUCCAGGAAAGUAUGGCGCUUCCACAUACCUGUGUCCUUCCGAGGUGUGUUCUUACCCUUCCAGAAUUAAUUAAUGUUCAAGGGCAAGCCUAGCAUUCCAGGGAGGUUUUUUACAACCGGAGAAGAGCUGGAAUUCACUUGAGUUCUGGCAGAAUAGAGAAUUUAUCUACCUAACCUGAGGGCCAGAAUAGAUCUAUUUUGUCUUCUGUCUUCAAGUUAGAUUAUAAAAUACCGUAUUUAUCCUACAAGCCUAACCUCUCUGUUAGACCGAGCCACAGAUUGCCAUUUUUUAAGACAAACAGUUUUCAGUUUACUUCGGCCAGUUCCUCUUUCGGUAAGUAUCCAGAAACUUCUGGGAAACAUCUGGGGUUUGCAUCCAAACUGAGUGAAGAUCAGCUGAGUUUUCUUCAAAUGGGUCUUUUUCACCUCUUUAAGUGGAAGUGGAGAAGAACUGGGCAUGUGUAGAAAAGGUGGUGUGGAGGAGCCCUGUUGUCCUUGACUGGGAUUCUUGUGGCAGUGUUCCUGGAGGGGUGUCUCUAAAGAGGAGAGCGAGGGGUGAGGAAUAGGGCGGGAAGAAGCCCCCAAGGUCAGACCACCAGAACCAUCAUUUCACAGAUGGGAAACUGAGGCAGGCACUGAGCCAUGGCUGACUCCAGCAUGGAAGCAGAUCUCAGCCCCCUGUCCUGAAGUCCCUGUCUACCUCCCGUCACCUCCCUCCCUUUUCUGGCCCACCUGCCUUUCAGUGUUGAUCACUUUACAAACAGGGACAGAUUAUAGCUGAGAAGGAAAAGUCGGGGAGUUCCUGUUGUGGCAUAGCAAAAAUGAAUCCGACUAGGAUUCGUGAGGGAUAUGGGUUCAAUCCCUGGCCCCGCUCAGUGGGUUAAGGAUCCAGUGUUGCUGUGAGAUGUGGUGUAGGUCCCAGGUGUAUCUUGGAUCCCACAUUGCUGUGGCUGUGGUAUAGGCUGGCAGCUGCAAAUCCGAUUCGACCCCUAGCCUGGGAACCUCCAUAUACCAUAGGUGAGGCCCUAAAAAGCAAAAGAGAAGAAAAGGCAGUUAGGGCUUAUCAAAUCCUGUGAUUGUCACCAUUGGUUUAGCUUAUUUUUAUGAUUCCCACAGUUGGCUGAAUAACAAUAACCAUUUUGAACUUGCUUGCUGUGAUUGCAUGCACUCAUUUAAUUUCUUUUUCUUGAUGGUGAAUUUGCCUGGUGGAUUAAGAUGGAAAGGGCAGUGGCCCCAGAGCCCCGGACUAGCCCUCUGUAGCCAUGGGCAAGUCUGUUACUUCUCUACAUCUUCUGAGGAAUUGGGAAUAAAAGGCCCAUGUUCCGACAGGAAGACGAUCUUUGAACAGCAGUUAAGAUGGCUGUUGAAUGUUUAAAUAACAUUUUUUUCCUGCUUGAUGGAACCCAGGAUUAAAAACUGCAUUGUCAGUUGAUGCAAAGCAUGUCACGGCAAAAUGUUCUCAUCUAUACCCAGGGAGUCUCUAUUUUGAUAUUUUACAUGAAAAACAGAUGUUAAUGGCAUUAUUCUGUUCACCUCUCCAGACCCCCCCAGACCUUUGCCCAGGCUGUUCACCCUGCCUGGAACACCUUUUCUGCCUUCAUCUCCUCCUAUUCAGCCUUUUAGACUCCAGCUCUGGCCUCCAUGGUCCCUCCCUAAGGGUCUAAUGUCUGUCCCCUGGGGUCUUCCAGGACCCCUUGUGUGUCUUUGUUCAUGGCGGUAUCUGGAUUUUACAGUUGGGAAGUUACCAGCUUCUGGGGCUGUCUGCCCACUAGGCUGUAGGUCCCCUGGAGUAGAGACCACACGUUCUCUUUGUCCACCAGGAGCUGCUGUGUAGUGACCCCUCCAUCUGUGUUUAUUGACCAGAACGGAAGGACAGGAAACCUCUGUUCAUUGGAACUGGGACCCACCUUUCGAAAGUUGCAUCAUUCAAUUUUUUUAGGUCCUUGAGAUGGUGUGUUGUGUUCAGUGCACUAUUCAGCCCAGGGCUAAUCCACUGGGGCUCACAGUACCCUGGUUCCUGAAAACACAGCAAAGAACCUUCUAGUGGCCUCUUCCUACCCUAGGCAAUCUUGCCUCUCGUGCCUCAAUCCUUGUCUUCAGCCUUUCCAGCCUGAUGUCCCUGAGGCUUUAGGGUCCAGAAACUGGAAUCCCAGGUUUGAUAUCUCCAAGAACAUCAAGUGUCCAUGAAAUCACAUGUCCCAUUGCAGUGGCGUGAGGACACUGCAGACCACCUCCGCCAGAGAAGGUCACAGAGGCUUCGUGACAAGUGGCAAUCUGAUUCUGUCCUAUGUAAAACAUGGACAAGUGAGUGCCAUGAUUUCACUGUCAGACAGAGGCAUGAUGAGGGAUGUAGUGCUUACACACCAGGGGGUUGGCAUGUAGGCAGCCUGGGUUUAAAUCCAGCUCUUCUCCUGACCAGCUCUGCAAACCCAGGCAAGCUGAGUAAACUGAGUACCUCUGUUUCUUGCUCUGUUUCAAGGGGAAAUGGUAGUGCCUACUUCCUGCUAUUGUUCUGAGGAUUAACUGAGAUAAUACAUGCAAAGCCUCUAGGACUGUGCUAGCAUGCAGGGACCAAUCUGUGCCAUUGCUUGUCACGACUUGGUUCUCUACUGUGAGGGUGUAUGCUCGGGCCAAUUAUACCUACGAAUGUUUUUUCAAAACAUUUAUUGGCCUAUAGUUGACUUAGAGUGCUGUGUUAGCUUCAGGUAUAUAGCAAAGUGAAUCAGCUAUACAUUUUAUUGGAGUUCCCAUUGUGGCUCAGCAGGUUACGAACCCGACUAGUAUCCAUGAGGAUGAGGGUUCGAUCCCUGGCCUCGCUCAGUGGGUUAAGGAUCUGGUGUUGCCCUGACCUGCAGUGUAGAUUGCAAAUGCGGCUCAGAUCCUGCUUUGCUGUGGCUGUGGUGUAGGCUGGCAGCUGUAGCCCCGAUUCAACCCCUAGCCUGGGGUAUAGCCAGGUAUAGCCUUAAAAAAAAAUUAUGCAUUUUAUUCACACACACACACACACACACACACACACACACACAUAUACACACACAUUUUUUUUCAGAUUCUUUUCCCAUAUAGGCUAUCAAAAAGUUUGGAAGAAUAUUAAAAGUUUGGAAAAAGCAAUAAGCAUAACUAUGACCUGCAUGGCUGGGGCUGGGAUUACUGUAGGGGACAGACCAGACCAGUGACCAGUUGUUGUGACCAUUGAAUGAGGGUUAGAACAGUCUGUAGCCAGACUGACUCUGCAGAAUUCCAUCUACACCCCCCCACACACACACACCCACACACACACCCACACCCAUACCGUUAAGCCCUCAGGUGCCAGGAAGACUGGAGUUGCUGUCUUCUUAGAUAUUUAUGUGUCCACUGUCCAAAAGGAUAAAGCCCAGACCUUGGAAACAUUUCAAGAUCAUAAAAUCCAGGCCCAGGAGACUCUGUGACUCCUGAAGAUAUUUUAUUUAUAUCCCAAAAGGUCAAGGUAAGAACCCAGGGUCCUUUCCCCUCCCAUCUUAAAGGAGCAAAGGUUUCUCUCCUUUUCUAGACAUGGAAAAAAGCACUUCCUUUUCUCCUGCAGUUCCCGAAGCUCUGGGAUGUAUCUGCCCCUGUAGAAAGUCCUCAUUUGGAAAUUCCUCUUCUGGCUUACUGGGUUAAGAACCUGACACAGUGGCCAUGAGGAUGUGGGCUUGAUUCCUGGCCUCGAUUAGUGGGUUAAGGAUCUGGCAUUGCCAUGAGCUGUGUGUAGGUCACAGAUGCGGCUUGGAUCUGGUGUUGCUGUGGCUGUGGUGUCGGCUGGCAGCUGUAACUCUGAUUCAACCCCUAGCCUGGGAGCCUCCAUAUGCCGCAGGUGCAGGGGGUGAAAAAAAGAGAAUGUCCAUCAGCUCUCAUCAUCUCGCCCAGGAGUCUGGGUCUGGGAGCCGACUCUGCAGGGUCUGUGGCUGUGUGGUAUGGGUGUGUGUAUCCGCAGAGAGCACCUUCCCCAACCAUUGCCUUGGAAUUCUGCCGUGUCCACGUAUCUAAAGCACAUAACUGGAAGUGGGCAACAUCUCAGAGCCUGCACGUUUUGAUGAACCGGUCCAUACACUGGGCUCUUUGCUGGUCCAGAGAAUCCCGGGUCCCUGUGUGUGGAUCAGGUCUGAGGACCCAGGAAGCACAGGACACGGGGUGUGUCAGCAGGACUGAGUAACUUCAGACAACCUCACUGGCAUUCCUUCUUUUACCAAAGAGACCCUGUGCAUCACUAAGCGGCCAAUUGUAGCUGGAUUCUUUUACAGUAAAGUGUAGUUCUAAUGCAAUGCCUCUGUCCAUGCUGUUCCUGAAAGGAGUGAAAAAAAUGCUGGCGUCUCCCGGUGUUUCCACUUUUGAUCUGUCUCAUCUGGGAAUUUAAUACAUUUUCUGAUCAAAGUCCAAAGUCUCUGCUUUGCUCCAGCUUUAAUCUUUGGCUAUAAAGUCUCCCUUCUGUUACACACACACACACACACACACACACACACACACAUACACACACACACACACACACAAAUCAGUUUAUAGCCAAACAGCAGUUUCGUUUGGGGGACUGGAGGGGUGAGUAGGGAAUACAUAUCUAGAUAAAGGGGUAAUCAGUGCCUUCACUAUGGGAAGGUAGUUUGGACAGUUCAGGUAAACGUUAACCAUUUUUCAUGUAAGUGUUCAGUAUGUUUGAGAUCUUUAAUUCUAUACACUGAAUUUUGUUCAUUGUUGAAAUGGCCCUAAGCCAUAUUUUUCUGUUAUUUUAAAAAAUAUUUAUGUUGAGAAAAAGACGGAAAAUAAUUUAAAUUCAAAUAUUUCUCAAACUCCAUAUUCACUUAUGUAAAAAAUGUUACUUUUUUUUUUUUUUUGAGAAAAAAAAUUUGUUUCCCUUAAGGAAAGUGAUAACAUUUAUCAAGAAGUCCGAAGGAUCCCUUCACAAAGGAAAACUCCUUUACCUCCCCUGACAGUGAGUUGUUCAGACAGGUGGGAAGAUGAGAAGGUGGGGUCCUGAGAAGCCACCCCAGAAUUAAGCAGGUCCAGCCCCCACGUCCUACCUUCCGCAGAGGGACAUAGAACUGGACGAUUCAGGAGGCUAGCUAUCUCAUUAGGGCUGAAUCCAGCUGUGAUACUCAGAUGGAAGGUCAGCUUCCCCACCGCAGGCACAGAGCCUUCUUUGGUACUGACCCAGUUAGUGUACUGUUUGUAUCAUUAGGUCCACGUUCAGUUGAACCACCCGGCUUGCCCUGCAUUUACCGAGAUUCCAAGGAGACGUUGCUGGGGUACCCUUGAGGGGUGGAUCCCCCUGGGGGCCAGGAUGGGGAAACUUGGUGCUCCAAGGGCCCCGAGGGUCAUCUCAGCCACAAUGUUUGGAGACUCAGGGGCUUAGAAGCCAGUAUUUUGAUAAUUCUCCUAAACCACGUACUUUGUACUUGGAACACCCAUUUUCAGAGAAUUAGAAGUCAGAGGUGUGUGCAGCCUCUACUGGAAACCUCCCCUUUCUUUGCUCCCUCAGUGUUCAGCGGGGUUGAGGAGCUGGGGUUGAAGAAGCACAUUCCAUACAGUCCCUGUUGGCCCUGCAGAUGGAAGAGGUGAGAAACCACUUGCAUAGCACGGGCCCCAGGGUGCAUUUCGAAACAAAUCCUUAAUAUAUUUCCUUUCCUUUUCGCUCUUACAUGAGAUGAAUCUAGAGCAAUUUUCAGUCGCCCCAAUUUUAGAUGAGUGAAACUUCAGCAUUGAUGCUGUCUGGACAAGUCACAAAGACUACUUGAAAAUAAGAAGAGUUGUUCCCUGGCAGCUUGGUGGUGAAGGACUCAGCAUUGUCACUGCUGUGGCUCAGGUUUUAUCCUUGAACUUCCACAUGCUGCAGAUGUGGCAAAAAAAAAAAAAAAAAAAAAAAAAA